CUUCUUACUACACUAGGCAGCAAAUGAAAGCUUUCAAGAGUCUGGAGGCGUACAAUUUUUUUGUCAGCGGGUGGGUCCACAACCUUGGAACAAAACGUCUCCGUGAUGGAUACAGUUUGGUGUUUGCAAGGAACACGCCCUUGGCGAGGUGGGGGGAACUGGACCACCUUUCUGUGCCCCAUCAUCCUCUAUUAGACGACAUCCAAGCUAAGUAAACAUGUCUUGGCCCUUUCCCCCUGAAAUGACAGGCAGGCAAAGAUGUUGCGUCUUUGUUUGCUUCCUGGCCCUGGGUCUCAUUCCCAUUGGCAUAAUCCUGAUCUGUGAAGGGCCCCCGACACUUCUGACACCUUCAAGUUCAAAAGCUUCGCCCCCUUCUGACAGUCCCAAUCUGACAAAUGUAGCCCCUAGGGUCUUGCCCACCACUUCCUCUCCAGUUUUGCCCACGCCCGAUCCAUUUAGAAAGAAACGAGACACGGUUACCUCCUCGCCAACGGAUGAUGAAAACUCUGAUCGUGAGGGUGACGAACAUUAUCGUCUUUCUCUUGUUUAAAUGCUUCUAGAAUGGUUGUUUCUCUGUGGUGUUUUGUAUUAGGCUUGUUAUUAAUUGUUUCCCUCACCCACUUCCUCUUGAAGGAUAUAUCUGGUUGAACUGUGUCUGGUCGGGUUGUGAGGGUUAAGCGAUGUUCUCAGGGUCUCCGGACUUAAGCCUGAGCGAAUGUGUACUCCCACCACUGGAUAUAAAUUGUUUUAUUCCACACCCCUUCCUCACGUUUUACCAUAUUCACUUUUGAAUGUCCUUAGCAGUUACCGUUCUGAGUUUAUUUUACGGUUGAUUUAUUCUUUCACAUUUUCACGUUUAUAUCUCUCAUUAUUAUAGUAUACUCUGUACUCUCCACAUUUUUAUCAUUACUUAUGUUUUUUGGUUGCUGGGUUACAGGAACUGUUAAUUUUGUGUCACUACCCUGGUUGCACUAACUCGUUGUAUCCGUGUGUGCAGGACAGCUGUUACUGCUUUCGUCGGGAACCGAGACUGCUUGCAGCCGACCCCUGGGCAGGGUGGUGCCUGGACUCUUUUCUCCUCAUCUGCAAUGACAGAUAAAGACAAAUGAUAAGACCCGAGGAGUUUUUCGAGCCAGGCUUCGACACGUCUCUGUGUUCCUUUGAAUGUUACUUAUUUUUGUGUGUUGACCCAUUUAAGAUGGGUCAAAAGGGGGAUUUGAAGAAAAUAUAAUUUGAUCAAACAUUAUUCAGCUUUAAAUAUUGUUCAGCUUUAAAGUUACUGUGCAACUGUGUAAUAAAAAUGUGUGCUCACGACUUUGGCCUUGAGAGCGAUAAGAAGCGAUCGCCUCAUCCUGCAGGCGAAAGAUAUCUGCAAGCGAAGAGACUAGAACACCCAAGGCCGAUUUCCUUUUAUGGAGUUGUUUUUCUGCUAAUGCAGCACUUUCCUCACAACCCCCUCCUGUAAGUUUUAGAGAAUAUAUACCCAUCCUCACAGCAAAUAUGAGGAAUCUCCUGAUGUGAGCUGUGUUGAGAGGUUGUCUCUGUCUCAAUAAAAGUUCACUGAUUCCCCC
ensembl:lncRNA